GCCUGUAGUGCAUAGAUGGACUUGGUAUGAUUAUGACCAUGGAUUAUUCGGUGUAAUCAUGACCGUAAUAUUACAAAUGAUGUGGUUAAAGUCGUCAUUGGCCCGUAGUGCAUUGAUGGACAGUUGUUGGCAUGAUCAUGACCAUUGAUGAAUACACGAAUAUCAUUGGCCCGUAGUGCAUGGAUAAUUUGUGGUCGUGACCCUAAUGAAUAUCCUUGGCCGUAGUGCAGGGAUGAUGUGG
rnacentral:lncRNA from 1 species